GGCGCGGUAGCUCAGUGGUCAGAGCGCUACACUGAUAAUGUAGAGGUCGCGGUUGUGGAGAUUGUGCCAACGCCAACUCCCGUUCGAAUCCCGCUCGCGCCACAA
rnacentral:tRNA from 1 species